ensembl:lncRNA
AGCCGUGUUCCCCUGGCCCCGGCUUGCUUUCUCUUUCUGCGUCUGUGUCUUUCCCUUAUCUCCCACUCAGUCUCAAGUUCACCACGCUGGUCCCCGCAGGCCCGACCUCUCCAGGCUGAGCAUCCACGGAGGCCGAAGCAGGAGCAGUGUCGAGGAGGUGCAGGGAGAGGGGGAGGCCAGGGCCCGGCCCCCAGCCCAGGAGCAGACAUGGCCAGAGCACCUGCCCUCGCCUCUCAGGUCCAGUCCUGCUGAGGGCCCAAGGCGCUGCACACUGGCACCCUUGAGAACAAAGCAGAAGAGGCCAGGCGCAGGGCAGGUGCAGGCCGAUGCCCCCAAAGCGUGAGCCUGGGAUGAGGGAGUGCACAAAGGACGCGCACAGACCUCGGCGGAAUCUCUGUCUUGCCUCUGAGAAAUUCUCCUAACAUCACUGUUUGUUGGCUGACUUUUGCCUUUUGGUACUUUGGGGUACUUUGCUCUCUUCAACGCAGGAAGGAGAGGAACUUGCUGCAGCCCCCAGGACGGAAAUUCAGGUGGAAAACAUGCCAGGUGCUGGGGAUGACGGCACCCGGGGCUUCGGCCGCUGUGGCCUGCAGGGACACUGUCCUCGAGAGGGUCGCAGCCAAGCCCCAGCUGGCACGGCCCUCAGGCGCUGCGCCUGGCUUCCUGUCGCUGGUGCAGGGCUGGUGUUUUCCCUGUUGGCUGCAGGUUUUCCUGCAGGCGACAGAGACCUGAGGGACAGCAGGACGCCCUCAUGGUGGCCGGAUCUGGCUUUCCCGGUGUCAGCGCUAAGGUCAGAGGGAGGCAGCAGCUUCCAUCCGCACAGUGGCCAGCAGGGCCGCCCGACCAGGACCCAGGCCCUGAACUCGGUCCCCGGCUCAGAGGCACAGCCCACCUCGGUCCAUCUGGUGGAGGCCGAGGCGGCUUCUCUCAAACCAGGCCCCCGGGAGCUAUGGGCUGGCCAUCCUGCUGCACCGCAGGGCCUCGGCUGGCACCUGCGUUCUGGGACAGACAGGUGGUUCCCGGGGUGUGGCAGCCUGGGGUCACCGUCUGGCGUAGGUGUGGACCCAAGGGAAAUGAAAACUGACAGCCACGUGGGUACUUCAUGCAGGGUCCCCAGCAGCACGGCUGUUCGCAGCUCCAGUGGACAGCCCAGCAGGGUGUGGUCUGUCCGGCAAGGUGGAGCGUUACUCACCCAUAAAAAGAAACAACGUUCUGACGGGCAUCCAACGUGCAUGAGCCUGGAAAAAACACGGUGCCUGGUGCAAAAGGCCGCCACCACACGUGAUUCCAUUGAUGCGAAAAUUCCUGACCAGGCCAAAGCACAGACGGGAGUGGGGGAGGGGUCCCCAGGGCUGGACGCACGGGCGUGGGGGCCAGACUAGUGACAAGCUCGCUGCUGCUUCUAGGGCUGCCGUGUCUUCUCAGGUGGGCCAGAGGCAGUUGCACACCCAAGCGAGAGGGCACCAAAAGCUGCAGGAAUUGUGCGCUCCGCUGGCGGCACGGGGAGGAGGCGGAGCUGCUGUGGGGUGCACAGCGUUGGAGCCACACGGGCGAAGGGUUUGCUGCCCUGGGACACAGUGAGCCGAGCUUAGCGAGCCCUGGGGUCCUCCUGGUGGGCAGGACCCUGCCCCACCCAGGCAGGGCGCUGCCGAAGAGGUUGGCACAGGGAUACCGGCCGCCUGUGUUGACGGGAAGGGCUGGGAUGGGCGCCCCACCCACUGACACUGGGGCCAUGGAUGGGACCCUGGCAGAGCCCGCAUGGCAUUAACAGCCGGCCCUGGCCUGGGAACGCCCAAGGUCCAAGGAGCUGCCAAUGCUCUUGGGGUGGCCACUCCUCAGCACCCUGGCUCACCCACUUCCCUGGGGGGAGUUGGCAGGCCUGGUGCUCGCAGCCCCUGUGUCCCGGGAGGACAGGAGGGGUCCAUGGUGGCUGGGCACCACCUCGGUGUUUGCAAAUCAAAUUCGGCUUGUGCUGACUAGGAGGGGCCCAAGAGCCCAGAAAAUGAGAGAAUUUAACCAAUAUUAGAAAAUCCCAAAUUCUUUGGUCCAAGUCCCAAAAAUACAUGAGAGGGAGACAUGCUCAUCAUAACCACUGCAGCAGGAAACGCCCCAGCCCCCCAGAGGCCUUGCCGCUGGCCUCAUGCUAUACCAUGAGAGGCCCCAGAGAGGGACGGGGUCCACGGGGAGGCCCGGUCUGUCCCUCCUUGCCCUGCCAUGGGCUCGGCAGGUCCUAAGGUGCUAAUGAAGUGUUUAUUCAGCUUUUCUUUUAUUUGAUCACUGUCUGGCCCCAGUGAGGCCAGGUAGUUCCCGCAGAGGGCGUGGCCCUGACCCGAGGCCACAGGCAGGCACCGCCCCUGGUGUCCACUGACGGCACCCCACUGUCUGCCCGAGGUUCACCCAGGGUCCCGGAUCUCGAGGCCUGAGGCCUCGUGUCCCCAGGUGCGUGGACACGCUGAUUCUCCCUGCCCUGUGGGUCAGCGCUGGACUUGCUCCUCUCCCCCUGGCUCCUUCACCUUCGGGCCUCCUGUCCUCCCUGG